GCCCUAGUAACGGCGAGUGAAGCGGCAACAGCUCAAAUUUGAAAUCUGGCGCAAGCCCGAGUUGUAAUUUGUAGAGGAUGUUUCUGGCGACGUGCCUUCCGAGUUCCCUGGAACGGGACGCCAUAGAGGGUGAGAGCCCCGUACGGUUGGAUGCCUAGCCUCUGUGAAACUCCUUCGACGAGUCGAGUAGUUUGGGAAUGCUGCUCUAAAUGGGAGGUAUACGUCUUCUAAAGCUAAAUACCGGCCAGAGACCGAUAGCGCACAAGUAGAGUGAUCGAAAGAUGAAAAGCACUUUGAAAAGAGGGUUAAAAAGUACGUGAAAUUGUUGAAAGGGAAGCGUUCAUGACCAGACUUGGGCAGGUUGAUCAUCCGUGGUUCUCCGCGGUGCACUCUGCCUGCCCAGGCCAGCAUCAGUUCGUCCCGGGGGAUAAAGGCUUUGGGAAUGUGGCUCCUUCGGGAGUGUUAUAGCCCAUUGUGUAAUACCCUGGGGUGGACUGAGGUUCGCGCUCUGCAAGGAUGCUGGCGUAAUGGUCAUCAACGACCCGUCUUGAAACACGGACCAAGGAGUCGUCUUCGUAUGCGAGUGUUCGGGUGUCAAACCCCUACGCGUAAUGAAAGUGAACGUAGGAGAGAGCUUCGGCGCAUCUCCGACCGAUCCUGAUGUUCUCGGAUGGAUUUGAGUAAGAGCAUACGGGGCCGGACCCGAAAGAAGGUGAACUAUGCCUGUAUAGGGUGAAGCCAGAGGAAACUCUGGUGGAGGCUCGCAGCGGUUCUGACGUGCAAAUCGAUCGUCAAAUAUGGGCAUGGGGGCGAAAGACUAAUCGAACCUUCUAGUAGCUGGUUUCCGCCG
rnacentral:rRNA from 1 species